rnacentral:rRNA from 1 species
AACGAACGCUGGCGGCGUGCCUAACACAUGCAAGUCGUGCGAGAAAGUUCCUUCGGGAGCGAGUAAAGCGGCGCACGGGUGAGUAACACGUAGGUAACCUGCCCCCCAGUCUGGAACAACUAGAGGAAACUCUAGCUAAUGCCGGAUGAGACCACGAUCCCUUCGGGGGUUGCGGCCAAAGAUGGCCUCUACUUGUAAGCUAUCGCUGAGGGAUGGGGCCUGCGGGCCAUUAGGCUUGUUGGUGAGGUAACGGCUCACCAAGGCUGUGAUGGCUAGCUGGUCUGAGAGGAUGACCAGCCACACUGGGACUGAGACACGGCCCCA